UACAGAGGGGGCAAGCGUUAUUCGGAAUUAUUGGGCGUAAAGGGCGCGUAGGCGGCCUGGCAAGUGGAUGGUGAAAUCCCUCGGCUUAACCGAGGAACUGCCAUCCAGACUGCUUGGCUUGAGACCGGGAGAGGUGAGUGGAAUUCCCAGUGUAGCGGUGAAAUGCGUAGAUAUUGGGAGGAACACCAGUGGCGAAGGCGGCUCACUGGACCGGUACUGACGCUGAUGCGCGAAAGCUAGGGGAGCAAACAGGG
rnacentral:rRNA from 1 species